rnacentral:rRNA from 1 species
UACAGAGGUCUCAAGCGUUGUUCGGAUUCAUUGGGCGUAAAGGGUGCGUAGGCGGCGCGGUAAGUCGGGUGUGAAAUCCCGGGGCUCAACCUCGGAACUGCCUUUGAUGCUGCAAAUCUCGAGUCCGGAAGAGGUGAGUGGAAUUCCUAGUGUAGAGGUGAAAUUCGUAGAUAUUAGGAAGAACACCAGUGGCGAAGGCGGCUCACUGGUCCGGUACUGACGCUGAGGUGCGAAAGCGUGGGGAGCAAACAGG